rnacentral:rRNA from 1 species
GGCUCAGAUUGAACGCUGGCGGCAUGCUUUACACAUGCAAGUCGAACGGCAGCACGAAAGAGCUUGCUCUUUUGGUGGCGAGUGGCGAACGGGUGAGUAAUACAUUGGAACGUACCGAGUAAUGGGGGAUAACUGUCCGAAAGGAUGGCUAAUACCGCAUACGCUCUGAGGAGGAAAGCGGGGGACCUUCGGGCCUCGCGUUAUUCGAGCGGCCAAUGUCUGAUUAGCUAGUUGGUGGGGUAAAGGCCUACCAAGGCGACGAUCAGUAGUGGGUCUGAGAGGAUGAUCCGCCACACUGGGACUGAGACACGGCCCAGACUCCUACGGGAGGCAGCAGUGGGGAAUUUUGGACAAUGGGCGAAAGCCUGAUCCAGCCAUGCCGCGUGUCUGAAGAAGGCCUUCGGGUUGUAAAGGACUUUUGUCAGGGAAGAAAGGGUU